rnacentral:RNase_P_RNA from 1 species
UGAGUCGGCCGGGUGGCCGCGGUCCGGGCCUUCGGGCACCGGGUCGAGGAAGGUCGGGGCUCCACAGGGCAGGGUGCUGGCUAACGGCCAGUCGGGGCGACCCGAAGGAAAGUGCAACAGAGAGCAGACCGCCGAUGGCGGGCUCCGGCCCGCACAGGCAAGGGUGAAACGGUGCGGUAAGAGCGCACCAGCGGCCGGGGUGACCCGGCCGGCUCGGUAAACCCCACCCGGAGCAAGGUCGAACGUGGGACAGGAGUUGCCCGCUCGGCUCCCCGAGAGGGGGGCAGUCCCCAGGUAGGCCGCUCAGAUGGAUGGCCACCACGUCCCGAAAGGGGCGUACAGAACCCCGCCUACAGGCCGACUCACCGU